rnacentral:rRNA from 1 species
GACGAACGCUGGCGGCGUGCUUAACACAUGCAAGUCGAACGGUAAGGCCCUUCGGGGUACACGAGUGGCGAACGGGUGAGUAACACGUGGGUGAUCUGCCCUGCACUUCGGGAUAAGCCUGGGAAACUGGGUCUAAUACCGGAUAGGACCACUGCCUGCAUGGGUGGCGGUGGAAAGCUUUUGCGGUGUGGGGUGGGCCCGCGGCCUAUCAGCUUGUUGGUGGGGUGAUGGCCUACCAAGGCGACGACGGGUAGCCGGCCUGAGAGGGUGACCGGCCACACUGGGACUGAGAUACGGCCCAGACUCCUACGGGAGGCAGCAGUGGGGAAUAUUGCACAAUGGGCGCAAGCCUGAUGCAGCGACGCCGCGUGAGGGAUGACGGCCUUCGGGUUGUAAACCUCUUUCAGCACCGACGAAGCGCAAGUGACGGUAGGUGCAGAAGAAGGACCGGCCAACUACGUGCCAGCCGCCGCAGUAAAAC